GGGCGCUUAGCUCAGUUGGUUUAGAGCAUCUGCCUUACAAGCAGAGGGUCGGGGGUUCGACUCCCUCAGCGCCCA
rnacentral:tRNA from 2 species